GUGAAUUUAGAGGUCGAAAGACGACCUUCCUCUUCACCAUCUUUCUGACCUCCGAUUGGAGUUCCUCUGGCCGCUUCACCGCAGGCUCUGGCUUCCUUUUCUCCAGGUACCUUUCUAUGGAGAGAUUAUGGACGUUUGCUGGUGAUGGUGGAUGGCGUGUGAGGCUCAGCUUAAGCACUUUUGGACUAACUCUGAAAACAAGAACCUGUACUGUCUGCGCAGGAAGUCUCUGUGAUGACCAGGUCUCACCGUCCAGAUCUGCAGGCAGCUCAGCCUUCAGAACCGUGACAGAGCCAAGUGAUUGUUGGGAGCAGAGGAAUGGGAGAAAGCCAGAAAUCCAUUGAAAGAUACUUUUAAUCCACUUAGGAAUACUUACGUAAAUACAUCUUGAAAACUUAAACUGGAAAUAAGCUUACACCAGAAUGAAACCAGUAGGCUGUGCAGGGGCUGGCUGUGGUCAGGACUCAGCAGGUGAAGGUGCCUGCUGCCCAGCCUGAUGAUCCGAGUCCACUUUCUGGAAUCUCCAUGGUUGACUGCCUCCAAGAGUUCCUUCUACAGCUGGAAUGCAAGAUCCUGAGUGGAGUCCAGGUGGUGGGUCUGGGAGCCUCCAGAGAGUCAUGGCCAGUCAGGAUGGCUGCCGUCCCCGUGCUUCUGGAGAGGGGCUUAGCCAAGAGGAAGCCACCCCAAAGGCUGAUCUCCUGACAGUUGAGCCGGUCCCCUGACAUGUGGCAUGCUGCAGAGCCUCGGAGGAAAGAGACAGCAACACUGACGAAUGAGCCCAGUCUUCUGCAGGCGUUUUCUCAUCUGGGGGUCCCUCCUCUCAGAUGACUCUAGCUUGUGUGAAGUUGACACAAAUCUAGCCAGCGGACUGCAUGAAACUCGGAGACUGGUCUUGGUGAGGAAACCAAAGGAGCUGACUCAGAAAGUCAACGGGAACCAAGAUACCCUGCGCAGCAGAGAAUUCAAAGUAUAUCAGGCUCAUGCUGGAAGAAGGCUCGGCAGUUAAGAGCAUAUACUGAGUCCAGAGGACCUGAGUCCACUUGCCAGCAAUCACACCAGGUGUCUAUAACUCUAGGUCCAGGCCAGAGCUCUGCAGCACCUACAACCAUGUGCGCACACACUUACAUAUAACUAAGACUAAUAAAAAUGAACGUUUUUAAAAAAUGUCAUGCGUCAGAACCAUCAGUUCAGAACCUGUGUGCUUUAUUUAGAGUUUUUCCGGUCAGCUCGGCAUGAGCUGGAGUCAUCUGAGAAGAGGGAACUUCAGUUGAGAAACCACCUCCAUCAGAUGGGCCUGCUGGCA
rnacentral:lncRNA from 1 species